GAGUAGCUGGGAUUACAGCCUGAAUUGGCAUCACCAAGAAUUAACACCCGACUGCCCAAAUCCCUGUCAGGACUGUGGGUUGCCUUGCAGCUGGCCUUUUCUCCCAGAAUCUGAAGGAGUUCUACAAGCUGAGGCUUAGCGAUUUGGCAUAAACCUUGAAAGACUCAGCCCUUCAGGAUACCAUGAAUUCUCCCUGGACAAGCUGCUGCCUGGACCACUAAGGAAGCCCAGCAAAAUGCUCAGGCCAUGUAUGCCCUUUCGUGACAAGUGCCAAGAUUGUGGACAAUAUCACAAGACAUUGACAGCUUUAAGAAACUCAAAAACUGGUGCUGGAAGAUUUUCUUCUGCUAACCUCUUGGAAUUCACUGAACCAGCUAAUUCUCAGAUUCAACUACUGGCUUUUACUUUAAUAAAUGGCAAAGCAGAUGACCGCAAAAGGCCACACUGCCCUCCCAGUUUCUUCCAGAAGACUGGUCUUCAUCCUGCCUCAUGACUCCCAUAGACUCCAGGGUGCCUCCCUCUUUUUUUUUUUGAGACAGAGUCUGGCUCUGUCAUCCAGGCUGGAGUGCAGUGGCGCAAUCUCAGCUCACUGCAACCUCUGCCUCCUGGGUUCAAGCGAUUCUCCUGCCUCAGCCUCCGCAGUAGCUGGGACUACAGGCAUGCACCACCAUGCCUAGCUAAUUUUUUUUUUUUUGUAUUUUUAGUAGAGACGAGGUUUCACCAUGUUGGCCAGGCUAGUUUCAAACUCCUGACCUUAGGUGAUCUGCCCACUUCGGCCUCCCAAAGUGCUGGGAUUACAGGCAUGAGCCACCGCGCCUGGCCAAUGCCUCCCUCUUUUACCUUCGUCUGCAAAAUCCCAGGCCCCCUUCCUUUUCUUUGAGAUGUCCCUCAUUAAUGAGCAUUCUCUUCAUGGCACUAGCUUGAAUAAAACCAUCUCCUUAAUCGUCAAGUGAAUUUCGUCUGUCACAGUGCCAGCGACGAACUCUCAUAAGGGCAGCCAGCACUUCGCCCCUGACUGUCCUGCUGGAGUGACAACCAUCUGUGCUGAGCCUCUUUGCAGUCCUCCUGUGGCUCAUCCCUCGGACAGCCGCCCUUUCAACAUCUCAGGCUGAAGAUCUCUGUGUACAGUCACAAUCUUGGUGCAGCUUCUGCAGACCCUGGUGCAUCCAGUCAUACCAAUUCCACAUCCACAGCACAUGCUACUAGCCACUUCCAGGAUCAUUAAAAUACAUUUCUGGCCAUUUCUGGACCCAGUCCAAAGAUAAAGACUGACUAUGCAACAAACAAAUGACAGAUUAAAGGAGACAAAAAUUACUUUCACAAUGUAUAAUUACCAACAAUGUAACAUUUUAUUAAAUGUGUCUGUAGUCUGCA
rnacentral:lncRNA from 1 species